rnacentral:rRNA from 1 species
ACGUCAAGUACUCAUCCGUAUUAAGGAUAAGCCUUCCUCCCUACUGAAAGUGCNNUUNACAACCCGAAGGCCUUCUUCACACACGCGGCAUGGCUGGAUCAGGGUUGCCCCCAUUGUCCAAGAUUCCCCACUGCUGCCUCCCGUAG